CCAAGUUCUCAUGCAAUAAAUGUAAUUUUAUUUUAUGAAAAUACUUAUUCAAGUAUAAAAAGUUUAUUGUUAAUUUAUUUUGGAUUUUUCAAAAGCAUGGAUCAUUUAGUUUGUUGAUUUCUGAAUUGAUUUACAAGAUGAUUGAUUAUGUGGAUGCUGCAUUCGCGGACAAAACACAUAAUCUAUUAUUAUCGACGGCGACACGGUGACGUUUGUGCUUCUUCUCAUCACCAAUCCAUUUCCAAUCAAACGUUCAGAUCAACUGGAAAGACAACAAUGGAGACAUUCUUGAAUGAUGUCCGAAUUGGGACGAGCGGAGCUUCGAUUUUGGCUAAUUGAUUUGUUUGGAAUUUCUGGGAAGCGAGGAACACGGCGAAGGGGCAUUUUAAUUGGUCUAUAGCUCCUGCUUAUUGACGAACAGGUUAGAACUCUGUGUUGAUUAAUUUUACUGCUUCCAUUGGUUCCUAUUAACUAAUACCAUUCUGCGAAAGGCAACUGAGCGUGGACAAGAAUACAUUCUUAUUAUUUUCUUUGCAACAAAAAAAAAAAGAAAAGGUUCUGCAACUCCAGUUGGUGAUUUUGGAAAUAUGAAGAAGUGCAAGCAAGAAGCUUUAUCAGACAUUUAAUCUGCUAGAAGACUAAACUAAAAGAACUCAAGGUUCUUAUCAUCAUGGAGCAUAAACAUCCUCUACCCAGUUUUUCCACAACAAUUGACGCUCAACGUAAUUCUUCACAACAAAAUCCUCCUCAUAUCAGGUUAUGGCAAAUCGCAGAUUGUUAGAUGCAUCUGAUGGUUAUAGACUAUGAGAAUUAUGGAAUACCUAAUGCCGAGUACCAUUCAAUUGUGAGGAGGCGGUAGAGAAGUUGAUUCCGUUCUCCAGGUGGUGCGCUGCUUUGAGGACAACGAUAUUUAUCAUGUCGGUGGCAAAGUAAAUCCCACGUCUGGCCUUGAUUUCAUCAAUCUCAAACUCAUUUUCUGCGACUUGGAUCAGAUUUGUAAAAUACUCGAGAGACUUACGAAAUGCAAGGCAAGAGGAUUCACAAUCUAAAGUCAAAGAAAACUAUUGUCUGAAUGCCUUUGGUAUAAUUGUAGUGUGCUUUAUAGUGAUAUUGCAGUAGAUGUGUAGCUACGUAGUCUAGACAAGUAAAUUAAGAAAACACGAAGGAUCAGUUUAGCUUCUAUAGAUAAUGGGAUUUGAUGUAUUUGAUUCACUAAAUGAAUGGAGUUAGAGCUUUACAAAAAAAUGUUUCUUUUAUUGCAUAUCUUUUGGCGAUUUUUGACCCGUUCAAACUAAUGUGUUAUAUAUGCACACAACUGUUCUGAUGGAUCAAGAUUUCUUGCAGGGAAAUUGAGAAAUUAAAAUUAUCUGAGAUGUCAAGCAAAUAAGGCGUCAUUGAAGUGGCGAAGAUGUGAGCAGUGCUUGCUUCUCAUAUACUCAACUUCAGUAGUAAACUUUUGUGAUUCUCUUUAUAACGACCGAUGAUUUGUUUGAAACCAUAUAUGUUUUUGAAUCCUCACAGUUUCAUUUUAGAGCAAGAUCUAAAGUGAGGUACAUGUGCAGCAUUUACAAGCUACACGAUGAAGCCAAAUACAAGGUCUUCAUGCGCUGGAUAUCUGAUGAGUCAAAAUGGGAGCACCAAUUUAAAUGUUGUUCUAAAGAUGGUGUAAAGAAAUGCUGUUCUAAAGCUUCCGAUAAACCAUGUUUUGUUCUUGGAUAUGAUCUUGCAACUUUGAAUUUAAUAAUUUAUUAUUUUGUUUGACUUAAUAAUUAUUAAGUUGUCAAAAUUCGUUUAUAAAAAAAUUAACAAAUAUUAGCUCU